rnacentral:rRNA from 1 species
AGCGAACGCUGGCGGCAGGCUUAACACAUGCAAGUCGAGCGGGCAUCCUUGUGGUGUCCGCGGCAGACGGGUGAGUAACGCGUGGGAACGUGCCCUUCGGUUCGUAAUAACUCAGGGAAACUUGAGCUAAUACCGGAUACGUGCGAGAGCAGAAAGGUUUAUCUGCCGAAGGAUCGGCCCGCGUCUGAUUAGCUAGUUGGUGAGGUUAUGGCUCACCAAGGCGACGAUCAGUAGCUGGUCUGAGAGGAUGAUCAGCCACACUGGGACUGAGACACGGCCCAGACUCCUACGGGAGGGAGCAGUGGGGAAUAUUGGACAAUGGGGGCAACCCUGAUACAGCCAUGCCGCGUGAGUGAUGACGGCCUUAGGGUUGUAAAGCUCUUUUCUUCGGGACGAUAAUGACGGUACCGGAGGAAUAAGCCCCGGCUAACUUCGUG